ACACAGCGACAUUGGCUUGCAGAAGAGCUCUGGGGAUUUCACAAGCACAUUUAGCCUCUUGCAAGCAGUGUUAUCCAUUACAGACACAUUACAGUGUGGCAAAAGCGACUCCAGACCAAAUCCAUCCAUCUGACAGGGACUGUGUAGAGUCUAGAGCCUCAUAGAGAGGAAAAUGCACAAAGAGGAUUAAGGGUUCAAUGCUUGUUCGAGCACACACUAUGUACAGGUUCAAAGAUGGAGCCAGUGACAGGAACGUCUACUUAUUCCAGGAUAUCCCAGUAGUGAUGAGUUCUCCAGCAAGUGCUAAUAUCCGACAAGAGCAUUGACAUAGGA